AAAAAAAUUUCCUGGGUUAUCCUUCGCGUUCCCUCUUAUAGCUGCUAGUUAGCUGGGUCGGAUUUCUUACUUCCAACGUUUUUACUUCAGUUUUCAAUCUAGGUAGGAAACACGUAAAACAAUUUCCCGAUUUGUCCUCCGUUUUCCCUCUUAUUUCUCGUUGAUAACUAGGUCGGAUUUCUUACUUCUAAAAUUUUUACUUCAGUUUUCAAGCUAGGUAGGAAACUCGUCAAAAAAAUUUUCCGAGUUAUCCUCCUUUUUCCCACUUAUUUCUCGUUGAUACCUAGGUCGGAUUUCUUACUUCUAAAAUUUUUACUUCAGUUUUCAAUCUAGGUAGGAAACUCGUCAAAACAAUUACUGGAGUUAUCCUCCUUUUUCCCUCUUAUAUCUGGUAGAUAGCUCGGUCGGAUUUCUUACUUCCAACGUUUUUACUUCAGUUUUCAAUCUAGGUA